rnacentral:rRNA from 1 species
UACGUAGGGUGCGAGCGUUUAAUCGGAAUUACUGGGCGUAAAGCGUGCGCAGGCGGUGAUGUAAGACAGAUGUGAAAUCCCCCGGGCUCAACCUGGGAACUGCAUUUGUGACUGCAUCGCUGGAGUGCGGCAGAGGGGGAUGGAAUUCCGCGUGUAGCAGUGAAAUGCGUAGAUAUGCGGAGGAACACCGAUGGCGAAGGCAAUCCCCCUGGGCCUGCACUGACGCUCAUGCACGAAAGCGUGGGGAGCAAACAGG